UUUUUUUUUUUUUUUUUUUUUUGGAGACGGAGAUUUCCUCUUGUUGCCCAGGCUGGUGGCUCCCCUCCAUUGUGCAAUGAUGCAAUCUCGGCUCACUACAACCUUCACCUCUAGGCUUCAAGCAAUUCUCCUGCCUCAGCCUCCUAAGUAGCUGGGAUUACAGAGACCGGGUUCUUCCAAGUUGUCCGGGCUGGUCUUGAACUCCUGGGGUGAAGCGAUCCUCCCACCUGGGCCUCCCAAAGUGCUGGGAUUACAGGCCUGAGCCACUGUGACUACCUGAUACGUCUCUUCUCUCUUGCUGCUUUCAAAAUCCUGUCUUUUGUGGGAGGGCAGCUGCUGAGCUCCGGACUUCUACGGGAUCAUCCACUGAGGACAGGAGGACCGGGCCCUCUACAGACACUGCUCUAGUACCAGUCCUGGCUCUUUGCCCCAGGAGCAAAUUAAAAGGCAGCUUCGAUUUUCAAUCAUGGAUCUGAUGACUUUCAACAAACUUUCCUGAGGAAAAUGCUGUUCCCACCAGAAGAGAUCUCAGGACAAAUGUAGACAGCCCUGCCCACAGGGGAGACGGUCAGGCCAGUGUGGGGGCUAAUGAAUAAAUGCUACACGUGCCCACUCAGGUCACCACCCCCAGGAGACCUGGAGGACUGAAUGCUGCUGUCCCCAAGGAGGAGGCUGCCGUCUUAUCCCAGGAGGGAGAGCAGGAAAAUAAAAAGGUUCAAAAGGAAGUUGCUGCGUAUCCAUCUGAGGCCUCUGAGGACAGCAAAGAGC
rnacentral:antisense_RNA from 1 species